AAGAGGAGGAGGAGGAGGAGGAGGAAGGGGAACUUGAAACAGAAAAUAAAAUAAUCAAAAUAAUCAAUGUAUAUAUAAAUUUCCAUAUGGCUUGUUUAGGUUAUUUUUGUUACUGAAAGAAAAGGUUUGAAAUGUUAAUAUAUAUGUAAGAAGUGUGGCUUAGUACUUUGAAAAUAUAUAAUAAUAAUAAUAAUAAUAAAAACUUGAAACAUAAUAAAAUAAUCUGUAUAUAUAAAUUUGCAUAUGACUUGUUUAGGUUAUAUUUGUGUUACUGAAAGAAAAGUUUUGAAAUGGAAAUAAUAUAAACAGUUUGAGGCAGAGAAUGGAGUUUGAUAUCCCUGAAGCAAAUGAUCAAGCCAGCCUCUCUCACACACACACACACACACACACACACACACACACACACACACACACACACACACAC